AUGCACGCUGGCGGCGUGCCUAAUCCCUGCCAGUCGAGCGAACAGACGAGGAGCUUGCUCCUCUGACGUUAGCGGCGGACGGGUGAGUAACACGUGGAUAACCUACCUAUAAGACUGGGAUAACUUCGGGAAACCGGAGCUAAUACCGGAUAAUAUAUUGAACCGCAUGGUUCAAUAGUGAAAGACGGUUUUGCUGUCACUUAUAGAUGGAUCCGCGCCGCAUUAGCUAGUUGGUAAGGUAACGGCUUACCAAGGCAACGAUGCGUAGCCGACCUGAGAGGGUGAUCGGCCACACUGGAACUGAGACACGGUCCAGACUCCUACGGGAGGCAGCAGUAGGGAAUCUUCCGCAAUGGGCGAAAGCUUGACGGAGCAACGCCGCGUGAGUGAUGAAGGUCUUCGGAUCGUAAAACUCUGUUAUUAGGGAAGAACAAAUGUGUAAGUAACUAUGCACGUCUUGACGGUACCUAAUCAGAAAGCCACGGCUAACUACGUG
rnacentral:rRNA from 1 species